CCAGACUGCUACGGGAGGCAGCAGUGGGGAAUCUUAGACAAUGGGCGCAAGCCUGAUCUAGCCAUGCCGCGUGAGUGAUGAAGGCCUUAGGGUCGUAAAGCUCUUUCGCCAGGGAUGAUAAUGACAGUACCUGGUAAAGAAACCCCGGCUAACUCCGUGCCAGCAGCCGCGGUAAUACGGAGGGGGUUAGCGUUGUUCGGAAUUACUGGGCGUAAAGCGCGCGUAGGCGGUUAUUCAAGUCAGAGGUGAAAGCCCGGAGCUCAACUCCGGAACUGCCUUUGAAACUAGAUAGCUAGAAUCUUGGAGAGGCGAGUGGAAUUCCGAGUGUAGAGGUGAAAUUCGUAGAUAUUCGGAGGAACACCAGUGGCGAAGGCGGCUCACUGGCUCGAUACUGACGCUGAGGUGCGAAAGUGUGGGGAGCAAACAGGAUUAGAUACCCUGGUAGUCCACGCCGUAAACGAUGAUAACUAGCUGCUAGGGCCCACAGGGCUUUGGUGGCGCAGCUAACGCAUUAAGUUAUCCGCCUGGGGAGUACGGUCGCAAGAUUAAAACUCAAAGGAAUUGACGGGGGCCCGCACAAGCGGUGGAGCAUGUGGUUUAAUUCGACGCAACGCGCAGAACCUUACCAGCGUUUGACAUCCUUAUCGCGGAUUUGAGAGAUCAUUUCCUUCAGCUCGGCUGGAUAAGUGACAGGUGCUGCAUGGCUGUCGUCAGCUCGUGCCGUGAG
rnacentral:rRNA from 1 species